AAAAAAAAAGAGGCUUUAUAUGAGAACGGAUCAAGCGUUCGAGAGUUGGGACAGGGAAAUGAAACACUGGAACGACACUGCUUAAAUUGAAGCACAGUGUGCGAAUGACCUGCUGCGCGCUCGGAACUGUUAUCACCAUUUGGGAAGAAAUCAGAUGAAAAAACAAAACUGUAAAUACCCAGUACUGUACGAUAUACGUCUGGUGCAUUGCAGGUAAGAAUGGAUUGUGUGUGGCACUUCUCCGCAUGUGGACUAGAGUAGAUCUAGGAACAUCAGACAAGAAGAAACGUACGUGAAACCCUGCGGACAGCCCAUAUGCAAGUUGUUCCUCAAUUUUUCUGUUGUUGCAUUUUCGUAGUUUACGUGUAAUACUUUGUCACCGCCGUCUCGCCGUUAUGUA
rnacentral:lncRNA from 1 species